UUUGUUUGAAACAAACCACAUUGCUGAUGCAUGCAGCAUUUUUGUAUAACUGAUUUUAUCUUCAUCUCCCAUUUCAAGGUAUUAUUGAAAUUUCGAUGCAUCUCAUUGUCUUCAAGUUGCAGAAUAGGUUCUUAUGCUUGAGACAGUUUCAAACAAAACUACUGAUUUUUUCUUUGAAAUUUUACCUUCCAUGUACUUUCUUGAUAGUCAAUGAACAACGAAAAUUUUAAUGCAAGUAUCGCAAUCGCAUUGCAUGACUAAUGUUUUGCUGGCUUUUACCCAAUGCCCUGAUUUCGCAUUGCUGACUGCUAUGUGACCUAACCGACUUGGAUUAUGUUUUCAUGAUCUUCUAGGUGUUGCUGGCUGACAGGUUUGGAGCUAUUGGUGUUGGGUAAUCUGGUGUUGCUUAGUAGAUUUGUUGCCUUCAUAUAAGAAAUUCAAAACUCAUGGAAUAUAUCUGCAGAAAAUAUGAGCAGCGGGUUAGACUAUUUUUUGAUGUUAUUUACUCCUAAAAACAAUUUGUUUUAUGCCUCCAGGUCUUCAAUAUAAUUUACACAUACAGUUCCGAACUCUUACCAAGAUACACUGACUUAUUGAGGCAAAUGAUUUGUUUGUGAAUGAUCUUGACGAUUUUCGAGUGCUCUGAACAAUUGCUGCACCAAGCAUCAGUGCAUGCCCCACCGCCUCUACCCCUUCAGCGCUUGCACAAAAGGAGUAUGCAUCCAUGUUUCUUAUUGUGUAGUGGUAGUUGAAAAGAUUUUUACACUGGCCUUGGAUUCGCCUUCCGGGCGAGUGCGGCGGGGGCAACUACAGGCGAGGUGACAUUGGAGUCGUCACCUCCGGUCAAGUCGUACGGGGACCAGGAAGCGGGAAUAUGCUGCGACGGCCUUAUAAUCCCGAACAGAGGUAGUAUUUUCCUGAAUUUCUUUGCCUUGUACAAUGUGUUUAUCCUUAGCCUAUAGAAAUGUUGUUCUUUCAUACAUUUACGUGAUUCCUUUCUAAUAAGCUGAUGCCGUUUGGGAUUUUGUU